UUUCACAGCCGCAUGCCUUGAGUCCUUAUCCCAUUGCUGUUGUUCCGCUGCCAAAGAUUUUUCACGCAUGCAAGCCCAGGCACGCAUCGUUCCAGCUCCAUGUCCCACGGGAUAUUUCUUAUCUCCUGUGCGCUCACUCAACUGGAUGAGUCUCCUGCGUACCGGUCUUUGAUUUUUCUCUGGAAUGUGCUUGAGCUUGUACAGGCUGUGGCCUUAUCCAUCGCUCGAUUCAUCUCCCUGUCUUUAUCUUCUCCAAGCCGUGGAGCUUCUUCCCCAGCGCGCCCCUCUCCCUGGCUCUUCCCUGCGCGCCGCGGUGCUCCAGCUUGGCCCUGCUCAACUCGCCUCUACACAGCGUUCCUCUGCUCGGCCCUUUUUCCCCUGCACGCGAGCUCUGCGUCUUCCUGCGCGCCGGCUCCUGCUGAGCCGUGCGCCCUGGUGGCUAUCGCGACUGAUCUGUGGCCGCCACCUUCAGCUCGCCGGCAUUUCUUCUCUGCGCGCAGCUCACGCCCUGCUAGCCCCUGCUGCGGGUUG
rnacentral:misc_RNA from 1 species